rnacentral:RNase_P_RNA from 1 species
AACGACGGUCGUUCUGUCGCUGCCGAUUAGUUAUCGGGAGAGGAAAGUCCGGACAACAAAGAGCGCCAUACUUCCUAACAGGAAGGCGCCUGAAAAGGUGACAGAAAGCGCCACAGAAAACAACCGCCCUGAAGCAAUUCGGGGUAAGGGUGAAAACGUGAGGUAAGAGCUCACGACGUUGGCAGCAAUGUUCAACGGGGGCAAGCCUUAUGGGUUGAAAGACCAAGUAAACCGGGGUUUGAGGGCUGCUCGCCCAACCCGGAGGGUAGGUCGUUAGAGCAAAACGGUAACGUAUUGCCUAGAUAAAUGACAGAACUUGACAGAAUCCGGCUUACAGACCGUCGCUUUUU